UACGUAGGUGGCAAGCGUUGUUCGGAAUUACUGGGCGUAAAGCGCACGUAGGCGGGUUGUUAAGUCAGGGGUGAAAUCCUGGAGCUCAACUCCAGAACUGCCUUUGAUACUGGCAACCUAGAGACUGGAAGAGGUUAGUGGAAUUCCCAGUGUAGAGGUGAAAUUCGUAGAUAUUGGGAAGAACACCAGUGGCGAAGGCGGCUAACUGGUCCAGCACUGACGCUGAGGUGCGAAAGCGUGGGGAGCAAACAGG
rnacentral:rRNA from 1 species